AUGAUAUUUAUCACUGACACUAUAUAACUCUGCCACUUAGGGCCAUGUGACCUUAAGGAAGGCACUUCACCUGUUUGUGUCUCAUCUGUAAAAUGGGAAUUAUGAUGAUACCUACCUUAAAAAGGGUUGUAUCAAGGGAGUUAAUGCAUGUAAAACAAUGAGAAGAAUCUUUAGCCAAUUGUAAGCAUAAGUGUCAAUCAUUAUUAUUAGUAGUAGUAGUACAUUUAUUUGUUUGGGGUUUAUUAUCUGUCUCCUACACAAGAAGAUAACCUUCUUAACGACAAAGACUUUGUUUUGUUGACUACUAUAUUCUCAUUGCAAGAAGAGUGCCUAGCACAUAGUAAGGGCUUAAUAAUUAUUUAUUCAAUGAAUGAAUGAAUGCAUAAAUGACUUCAAGUCUUCAUCAUCCUUUUUCCGUGACUUAUGGGAUUUGGCUGCUAAAGUUCAUGAGUGGGUGAACAUAGUGUUUGAUGUCACAGCUGCACACACUUGGUCCAGCACCCCCAUAUGCCUAGAUACAAAGUGGGCAUCACUUGUGUUCUUUGUUGUGCCUCAUUCUGAUGACCUUUUCGCCUGACAUUUUCUUCCCACAGGCCUCAUGAAUGGCCAGGCUAUGCUCCACUUCCUUCAAGUUGUUCAUUUCUCUUCAUCUCAUGAACGUGAACCUGUCCUCAAUUUCAUUGCCAUAAGAUCUCCUCUUAGUAGGUGAUGCCUAAUUACUCUUUCCAAUUAACAUGCUAUUCAAAUUUGUCUAAUGUUUCUUCCAGUUCUAAAAUUUGAUGACCACUGAUCUGAUGUGACCGUGUGAUUGUUUCACAAUUUGAUGUGUGUGAUGAUAUUAGUAUGUACAAUACAUGCUGUUUACCUCUAUCUAGUAACAAAUGUUUACAUUUGUUACUAGAGUAAGCUUUAGGGGUAGAACUUGAGUCUCAAAGCUCACGUCUUGGGAAAAAAAAAAGAUCUGGUAUUGAUAGAACCUUGAUAAAUCCCUUGUUAUAGCACAUGUUUUUGUUUCCCAGAAGUAGGGCAAGAGCUCUCUGGCUUAUCCAAUCAGCUUCUUCUCCUGACUUUAGUAGAGACACGGGCUUCAUUACUGAGCUGGGAAUUUAACUUCCCUCUGUCCUAUGAAAAGUAGAAGAUUUUCCUAAGAGAAACCUUCAGUGAGAGCAGAACAGAAAAAAGAGCAAAGAACUAACUGAAGGAGAGGGCAAGAAAUCAGUGUAGUGUGGGGCAGCAGAAGGGAAGUGACAGGUCAAAGAAAAUAGGAGAGAAAAGGAGAGAGAGCUACCCAAGUAAACAGGAAAAGGGGAGGAAAUACAGGGCAAAAGCAGAGAGCAGGGGAAUUGGCAUGACAAGAAAGUGGUGAAACACAGAGGAUUCCACCAGACAACAGAGAGCCCGGUAGAGAAGAGUGGGCUAGGAUAAAGAGACAGGAAACAAAUGGAUUAAGACAUAGAGUAGCCAUUGUCAGUUACCUGGGUAAGAAAAGAUUGGUGGUCUAAAUAAAAUGCAGAUUGUUCAUUUACAAUUCUGACUGUUUAAAUUAUUUAUGGUACACCUUGGUGCUUCACUUAAUCAUGUUAAGUUACAGUUGUAAUCUUAUUAAUUACUUGCAACCAGCUUUCUCAAUGUACCAUGUAUAGAGGACAGCUUGUCAAGGGGUAGAAGUACUAUAGCUUCACUUUUAAUCCAGUAUCAUCCAGUACACAAAUUAGCCUUACACUGUUAGAAUCUUCCUGAUGAUGACUGGCUGAACUAAGCAUUAGUCUUGACAAUACAAGUACUGCUGUGCCCAUUUACAGAAAGGGAAGCAAUUCUUUCCCAGAAAGUAAGAUAUGAUUUAAAUGCUUUGGCCUAAUUAGCUGUGAAAAAGGACAUGGCCCAGGUAAGGCUUCAGGAAAAGCCAAUUAACACAUGUGCAUAUGUCUCUCUCCAUUCACAUCACCCAGCCUAGUCCAAGUCACCACCAUCUCUUCACUUGCAUUGUUACAGUAGUCUCUUAGCCGCUUUUCCCACCUCCACCUUUGAUAUCUCUAGUUAUUCAUGAGGUCCAAAAUGAACUUUUAAAAAUAACACCACACUAUCUCUAUUUAGACUUUUCAACAGUUUCCCACUGCACAAGGGAUACAUUACCACAAGGAAUUACACCAACUUGCCCUUGCAAAUCUCAUCUUUAUGUUCAACUGUGCUGAUCUUCAUUUUCCUCCUCAGAUGCGCAAAUGCUUUCCCAUCCCAGGGACUUCAUGUUUGUUCUGCCCCAAAACUAAAACACUCUUCCCUGUUCUUCAUCUGGCUAACCAAUAUUUGUGCUUUCUGUGUCAGCAUAAACACUGUUUUCCUCAGACAAGAUUUCCUGACUCCCAGCCUAGGCCAGGCCACUUCAAGGUGUGUGCUCUCCAUAAAGUUUACUUCUUCUAUAUACAUCAAUUCACAUAAUUAUACUUUAAUACUUACUUGUAUAAUUGUUCGUGUGCUAUGACCCCCAGUUGGCUGUAAGUCCUAUAAAGACAGAGGCCACAUCCAUCUUGCACAUCCCUCUGUUCCUAGCACCUGCCAUGGGUCCUAUCAGCUGACAAGCACUCAAUAUAUUGUAUGAAUAAGUAAAUAAGAUUCUAAUUUCCAACAUCCUAGACUUGUUUACAGUCCCACGGAGCCUGCUCAGGUAGAGCACAUGCAAUGCUUCCUAUGCAUGUGUUUGCAGAGAGAAGAGAGAGAAGCCCUUCUGCUUCUCCCACGUGUUACCAUUUUGACCAGACUCAGUGCUGAAGCACUGAUGAAAGGGAUGGAGACAGUGAGCCUGUGAAUGCCGUGUGCAGAACAGCACUUGCCUUUGUCCCCCAUGAAAGUAAUGUGAUGCUCGGUAUCCACAAUCUUUUAAUCUGGCUGCUGUAGGGUGAGAAUUUGUGGUCCUUUUCUGUUAAGAUGGAAUCUUGCUGAAGGUCAGAAUGUGGUUAGAGUCAAAGAGUGGCAUCACUAGCACUGUGUAUAAAAGAAAGAAUACAACUCGGAUCUUUGGUUCUCUACCAACUUGACUCACUUUCUCCACAGCAAGGCUCAUAUUAUCCUUUCCUAAUGGAGUUUAGGAUGCAAUUGCAGUCCUCUUCAGACAAGUCUCCUGUCCCUUUUGCUUUAUUCUGAAACAAUGGAGUCCAAAAUCUGUACUUCUUACAUAGUACAGUGACUAGCUUCUAACAUUCCAGCAUGGCUAUCUCAAGGACUUUUGACUAAAUGCUGCCAGUUCAUUUGGAGUGAUCUCUGGCAGGGCCAAAUUCAGCAUAAUGUAGCUUCCUGUUGUCUUCCUAUAUUCCUGUAUGUUAUUGUAAAUAUAUUGACGUAAGCUGACCUAUUAUACAUGCUUGUUCCCUUCUAUGGUGAUAGGGACUAGGAAAGACAAUGCACUGUUCACUCUAAUGUAAGGGAUCACAUAUAAUUCUUAUGAUUUGAUGAUUCUCUUCUGGCACUCAAACCUGCUUGUAGCUUUUAGGAUUCAUGGCCACUGGUGGCAUUAAACACUUAGGGCCUGUCAUCACAAAAGGACACUUUGUACACAAUUAUCUUUCCAAAGGCUAGAUCAGCCCAUGUCAAUGUCAUGUUUAAUAUUUAAACAAAACACACUUUACUGUCAUUUGUAUCUAUUUACUCAGUCACCAUCUGCAAAACCACUGUGAAUAAAAAUGGAACUUGUGGUGCAAGAAAAAUAUAUUGAGAAUCAUUGAGUUGGACAGACCUAGUGAGAAGGUUGUGUCUAUUCAAACACCUGUCUUCCACCCUCCCACCAUCUGUGCAAUCACUUCACCCUUCAGCCUCACUAGUCCCCCUAACAAUUACCCUGUCAAGAGGAGAGUGCAGCUCAGGUGGAUUUAAUGUGGGUUUAAUAUGGCCUGUUGAGUUUAAUGUUUAAUGUUGAUUUUCUUUAAGUAACCAUUUCUGUUCUUGCUAUAAAUCUAUGUCUAUAUGUCUAUGCUUAAUUUGGAUGAUGAAGGCAACUUGGAUUUAAGGCAAGAGCCAGUUUAUAUGUUUUAUGAAGAGAUUAUAGAUCAAAUAAGCAGACGAUAGACCUUCCAAAGCUAUAAGUGAAAACAGAAAAAUGACGCGUAAUUCACAGGUUACAGUGAAGUUAAAAGAGAGGGUUAAUAUUUUAAUGUGUUGUUAAGAAUUC
rnacentral:lncRNA from 10 species